UACGAAGGGUGCAAGCGUUGCUCGGAAUUACUGGGCGUAAAGGGAGCGUAGGCGGACAUUUAAGUCAGGGGUGAAAUCCCAGAGCUCAACUCUGGAACUGCCUUUGAUACUGGAUGUCUUGAGUGUGAGAGAGGUAUGUGAAACUCCGAGUGUAGAGGUGAAAUUCGUAGAUAUUCGGAAGAACACCAGUGGCGAAGGCGACAUACUGGCUCAUUACUGACGCUGAGGCUCGAAAGCGUGGGGAGCAAACAGG
rnacentral:rRNA from 1 species